rnacentral:rRNA from 1 species
AUCAUUCACAAUGGGGGAAACCCUGAUGCAGCAACGCCGCGUGAGUGAAGAAGUAUUUCGGUAUGUAAAGCUCUAUCAGCAGGGAAGAAAAUGACGGUACCUGACUAAGAAGCCCCGGCUAACUACGUGCCAGCAGCCGCGGUAAUACGUAGGGGGCAAGCGUUAUCCGGAUUUACUGGGUGUAAAGGGAGCGUAGACGGCGAUGCAAGUCUGGAGUGAAAACCCGGGGCUCAACCCCGGGACUGCUUUGGAAACUGUAUAGCUGGAGUGCCGGAGAGGUAAGCGGAAUUCCUAGUGUAGCGGUGAAAUGCGUAGAUAUUAGGAGGAACACCAGUGGCGAAGGCGGCUUACUGGACGGUAACUGACGUUGAGGCUCGAAAGCGUGGGGAGCAAACAG